rnacentral:rRNA from 1 species
AGAGUUUGAUCCUGGCUCAGGAUGAACGCUGGCGGCGUGCUUAACACAUGCAAGUCGAGCGAGAAACUACAUGCAGACACUUCGGUAGAAGCGAGUAGCGGAAAGCGGCGGACGGGUGAGUAACGCGUAGGCAACCUGCCCUUCACAGAGGUAUAGCCUCGGGAAACCGGGAUUAAAACCACAUAAAAUCAUAGGUUCGCAUGAACCAAAGGUCAAAGAUUUAUCGGUGAAGGAUGGGCCUGCGUCUGAUUAGCUGGUUGGUAGGGUAAAAGCCUACCAAGGCGACGAUCAGUAGCCGACCUGAGAGGGUGAUCGGCCACAUUGGAACUGAGACACGGUCCAAACUCCUACGGGAGGCAGCAGUGGGGAAUAUUGCACAAUGGGCGAAAGCCUGAUGCAGCAACGCCGUGUGAAUGAUGAAGGCCUUAGGGUCGUAAAAUUCUGUCCUAAGGGAAGAAAAAGAUGACGGUACCUGAGGAGGAAGCCCCGGCUAACUACGUGCCAGCAGCCGCGGUAAUACGUAGGGGGCAAGCGUUAUCCGGAAUUAUUGGGCGUAAAGAGUGCGUAGGUGGUCUACUAAGCGCGAGGUGAAAGGCAAUGGCUCAACCAUUGUUAGCCUUGCGAACUGGCAGACUUGAGUGCAAGAGAGGAAAGCGGAAUUCCUAGUGUAGCGGUGAAAUGCGCAGAUAUUAGGAGGAACACCGGCGGCGAAGGCGGCUUUCUGGAUUGUAACUGACACUGAGGCACGAAAGCGUGGGUAGCAAACAGGAUUAGAUACCCUGGUAGUCCACGCCGUAAACG